rnacentral:misc_RNA from 1 species
GAUGAAGAACGUAGCGAAAUGCGAUAAGUAAUGUGAAUUGCAGAAUUUAGUGAAUCAUCGAAUCUUUGAACGCAUAUUGCGCCCGCCAGCACUCUGGCGGGCAUGCCUGUUCGAGCGUCAUUUCAACCCUCAGGCCCUCGUGUCUGGCGUUGGGGCGCUGCGGCCCCCCCGCAGGCCCCCAAAUUUAGCGGCGGACCCACCCGGCCCUGAGCGCAGUAGUUACUAAACUCGAACGCUCCGGCGGCCGUGGCGUGGUUUGCUUGGUAUACUCCCAAAAAGUUGACCUCGGAUCAGGUAGGACUACCCGCUGAACUUAAGCAUAUCAAUAAGCGGAGGA